ACGUACGCUGGCGGCACGCCUAACACAUGCAAGUCGAACGAAGUAGCAAUACUUAGUGGCAGACGGGUGAGUAACAUGUAGGUAUCUGCCCUUUGGCCUGGAAUAACACGAGGAAACUUGUGCUAAUACCGGAUAAGUCUUUACGGAGAAAGCUUUAUGCACCAUUGGAUGAGCCUGCACUUGAUUAGUUUGUUGGUGGGGUAAUGGCCUACCAAGACUGUGAUCAAUAGCUGAUUUGAGAGGAUGAUCAGCCACAUUGGGACUGAGACACGGCCCAAACUCCUACGGGAGGCAGCAGUGGGGAAUCUUGCACAAUGGAGGAAACUCUGAUGCAGCGAUGCCGCGUGAGUGAAGAAGGCCUUUGGGUUGUAAAGCUCUUUCGUCGGGGAAGAAAAUGACUGUACCCGAAUAAGAAGGUCCGGCUAACUUCGUGCCAGCAGCCGCGGUAAUACGAAGGGACCUAGCGUAGUUCGGAAUUACUGGGCUUAAAGAGUUCGUAGGUGGUUGAAAAAGUUGGUGGUGAAAUCCCAGAGCUUAACUCUGGAACUGCCAUCAAAACUUUUCAGCUAGAGUAUGAUAGAGGAAAGCAGAAUUUCUAGUGUAGAGGUGAAAUUCGUAGAUAUUAGAAAGAAUACCAAUUGCGAAGGCAGCUUUCUGGAUCAUUACUGACACUGAGGAACGAAAGCAUGGGUAGCGAAGAGGAUUAGAUACCCUCGUAGUCCAUGCCGUAAACGAUGUGUGUUAGACGUUGGAAAUUUAUUUUCAGUGUCGCAGCGAAAGCGAUAAACACACCGCCUGGGGAGUACGACCGCAAGGUUAAAACUCAAAUGAAUUGACGGGGACCCGCACAAGUAGUGGAGCAUGUGGUUUAAUUCGAAGAUACGCGCAGAACCUUACCAACACUUGACAUGUUCGUCGCGACUCUAAGAGAUUAGAGUUUUCGGUUCGGCCGGACGAAACACAGGUGCUGCAUGGCUGUCGUCAGCUCGUGUCGUGAGAUGUUGGGUUAAGUCCCGCAACGAGCGCAACCCUCACUUUUAGUUGCCAUCAUUUAGUUGGGCACUCUGAAAGAACUGCCAGUGAUAAGCUGGAGGAAGGUGGGGAUGACGUCAAGUCCUCAUGGCCCUUACGUGUUGGGCUACACACGUGCUACAAUGGCAUUUACAAUAGGAAGCAAGACGGCGACGUUAAGCAAAUCCUAAAAAAAUGCCUCAGUUCGGAUUGUACUCUGCAACUCGAGUACAUGAAGCUGGAAUUACUAGUAAUCGCGGAUCAGCGCGCCGCGGUGAAUACGUUCCCGGGUCUUGUACACACCGCCCGUCACACCAUGGGAGUUGGUUCUACCUUAAGGCAAGGUUUAAAACCCUUGACCACGGUAUAGUCAGCGACUGGGGUGAAGUCGUAACAAGGUAGCCGUAGGGGAACCUGCGGCUGGAUUACC
rnacentral:rRNA from 1 species